UGGGGCGUAGUCAAACUGGUAAGACACAGGAUUUUGGUUCCUGUAUUGGAGGUUCGAGUCCUCCCGCCCCAGCCA
rnacentral:tRNA from 1 species